AUUCCAUUUUGCACAAGCUCAAUAUCCGAGCAAUUGAUCUCAACAAUGUCCCUCGGAACAAGUUACAGAAGGAGUGAGCAAGGACAAAUAAACAUGAAUGUUGAGGAUUCAAUUCACCUUAUUAUUCAAAUAGAGCGCAUUGAUGAAUUAACUAAACCUACAGUGAUCAUGGAAAUUUCAGCUUUCAAGUUUGGUUGAUAUUGAUGGAAUUUCAGCCGGAUAUGAAGAUAGUGUCUUCACAGUUGACCAUCACCGAAUCAAGAUAUUACAAAAAAAAAAAAAGGAACUCCAUAUUGAUCCAACAACCAUUUCAGAUAUAUUAUUAGAGCUGCUUGGAUUAAUAAUCUUGACAUGAUUUAAUUAAUGUCUUAAUUAACAACUAAUAUUUUUGGAUUUCGAAUAAUUGUUAGUAUCAAUAUCAUCAUUAUUGAUAGAGUUGUAUUUGAUCAAAGAUCUAUUCAACAUAAAUUUCAGAUCCUACUUUUUAGCAUCAAUCUGAAGUUUGACUACACGUGUAACCUUUUUAUCCAUUAUCUAAACAGGGCUUUGAAACUUGAAA